AUUUCAUAUCGGCCUAAUCUCAGUAUUGGGAACGGAGGAACCAUUUUUUGGGGGUUAAUUCUGCAAAUUGUAGAAGGGAUGAGAAACUCUUUCGCCAUCCUACCCGUCAGCUAACUUCGUCGGCUAAAGCGAAGGAGGUC
rnacentral:sRNA from 2 species